rnacentral:rRNA from 1 species
AUUGAACGCUGGCGGCAGGCCUAACACAUGCAAGUCGAACGGUAGCACAGAGAGCUUGCUCUCGGGUGACGAGUAGCGGACGGGUGAGUAACGUCUGGGAAACUGCCCGAUGGAGGGGGAUAACUACUGGAAACGGUAGCUAAUACCGCAUAACGUCGCAAGACCAAAGUGGGGGACCUUCGGGCCUCACACCAUCGGAUGUGCCCAGAUGGGAUUAGCUAGUAGGUGGGGUAAUGGCUCACCUAGGCGACGAUCCCUAGCUGGUCUGAGAGGAUGACCAGCCACACUGGAACUGAGACACGGUCCAGACUCCUACGGGAGGCAGCAGUGGGGAAUAUUGCACAAUGGGCGCAAGCCUGAUGCAGCCAUGCCGCGUGUAUGAAAAAGGCCUUCGGGUUGUAAAGUACUUUCAGCGGGGAGGAAGGCGGUGAAGUUAAUAGCUUCACCGAUUGACGUUACCCGCAGAAGAAGGACCGGCUAACUCCGUGCCAGCCGCCGCAGUAA